rfam:Danio rerio chromosome 4, GRCz11 reference primary assembly.
GCAUUGGUGGUUCAGUGGAAGAAUUCUUGCCUGCUACGCGGGAGACCCUGGUCUGUUUUCUGGCCAAUGCA